UCUAUGCUGAGCUUGACCGCCAUCUUCCACGACUAAUGACUUUAUUUAGGCAGAAGGCAUCAAGAACUGGAAAGACAGCAGAUGCUCUGGCUGAAAUUUUAAAAAUCCACGAUGAACAGGAAAACCAGGACAUACACACCAAACGUACGACUGUUCUCCACGGCCUCCCUGUCUAUCUGUGCGAGGAUGUAUCUGGAUUCUUCAGAACCUGCACAGACGAGUCUGAUGAGCCAGAGCUUGAUGGGGUUGCAGUGGGCCUCCUUACUGUCACCAGUGACAAUAACACAAGUGCAGUUCACUACCACCCUGUGAAAAUCUCUGUGAUUAUUGAAAGUGAUGUCAUGGUUAG